ACCCAGACUCCUACGGGAGGCAGCAGUGGGGCCUCUUGGGCAAUGGGCGCCAGCCUGACCCCGCCACGCCGCGUGCCGGAAGAAGGCUUUCGGGUUGUAACCUUCUUUUCUCAGGGCCGCCGCAAGUGCCGGUCCCUGAGGACUCCGCCACGGCUACCUCCGUGCCAGCAGCCGCGGUAAUACGUCGGUGGCAAGCGUUCUCCGGAUUUACUGGGGGUAAAGGGCGGGGAGGCGGGAAAGCAAGGCAGAUGUGAAAGCCAUGGGCUCAACCGGUGGCCUGCAGUUGAAACUGUUUUUCUUGAGGACGGGAGAGGCAGACGGAAUUCCUAGGGGAGCGGUGAAAGGCGGAGAUAUUAGGAGGAACACCAGUGGCGAAGGCGGUCUGCGGGACAGCAACUGACGCGGAGGCGCGAAAGCGGGGGGAGCAAACAGGAUUAGAUACCCUCGUA
rnacentral:rRNA from 1 species